GCCAAGAGGAUAGCUCAGUCGGUAGAGCGUGAGACUCUUAAUCUCAGAUCAGGGUCAUGGGUUUGAGCCCCAUGUUGGGCA